AAACUUUCAACAACGGAUCUCUUGGUUCUGGCAUCGAUGAAGAACGCAGCGAAAUGCGAUACGUAAUGUGAAUUGCAGAAUUCAGUGAAUCAUCGAAUCUUUGAACGCACAUUGCGCCCGCCAGUAUUCUGGCGGGCAUGCCUGUCCGAGCGUCAUUU
rnacentral:rRNA from 5 species